rnacentral:lncRNA from 10 species
CUGGAACCGUCUGAGCGGCGGGGGAGCCGGUGUGUGAAGCCGGCACCACGUUAGCGGAACCGAGUUAUUGAAGGGCCCCACCUGGGUGGAGCCGUGAGUGUGAGCAGCUUCCGCUUCCCCCGGAAGCUGGCGUCGUGCAGGAACCCUCACCCGCCCGAGCGGGGCCCUGGGCCUCCGGGUCACUCUCUGUGGCGGGGUCUGGCUGCGCGUCAGACGGCCUCCUCCAAUGCCCGCAGUUGCUGUCGCCCCCAGGCCUGGACCGGGGAGUGAGGGGUGGGCCUGACCGGCCCCUGAGCUCCCGUCAGCCCCCCACGCGAGCCCGUCCUGUGCUGGGGGCAGGGAGAUGGGCCGGUGGGAGAGGAGACCGCAUCCAGCCCUCCCUGGCCACCUGCAGGGUCCCCACCGUGGCGGCUGCUUUACUGCUAACUCCUCCCGGGGACCCCAAGUCCCCAUCGCUCUCGGGGGUCCCCCUCAUCCGAACCGCCUCGGAGGAGGGCCGCAUCUCACGCGGAGCACCCCUCCACGCCUGUGACCCUGGACUUGCUCUCCCGCCCCCGCCCGGGCCUCAGGGCUCAGGAGGCCGUGAUGAAGCCAGCAGGUGAACUGCACCCUGGAGCCUCCGACGGGGCGGCCACGGGCAGCGAAGAACCCGGAAAAACAGUACCCUUCUGAGGUUAAUCCGCGUUGAUAGAAGCAGGUGUGGUUCAUCUGGAAUCUGUUGGUGUGAACUGCGCGGCGGCGUCCCCCACCAGGCACCACAGGUGAUUCAUUCGUUUCCCUGAAAAGGCGCCUGGAUGCUGUUUCUAGCUCCCGUUAUCCCCAGCGAUGCUGCACCUGCCCCAGGACACACGCUAGGGUGGAACCGCCGGGCAUGGAGCAGGUGUGGUCUCAACCGCAGGAGAAACAGCCGGGUAGCCUCCAAAGGGACGUGCCACUUGGCGCUCCUGCAAGGGGAGAGGCACUGAGGCUCUCGGUCCUCACCAGCACGUCCUUGUGCCACACUCAGGCCCGGCGGGUGGUGUGGGGGCCGCAUCUCAUGGAGGUCUCCGUCCACGUUGCCCCCAUUGUGACCGCAGCGGGCGCCUCUUGGUAGCAGCCACCGGCCUCUUCUGGGACUCGCCGGAGGGUUUCCACGUCGCCCGCUCCGACGGGGCUGUUCAUCUCCCCUUGAUCUGUGGGACUCCCCGUCCGUCUCAGAUCCCAUGGCUUGUCUCUGACACAAGACGCCAACGAAGAUCGGCA